UGCGACAGACUACUCGUCGGCUCAAUUCCUAGCCGUUGCCAUAUACUACUCCGUAUGUGGAUGUGGCCCCCAUUGGCCAGUGACCCAAUAUAUGGAAACCUAACUGCAUCCACCAUUCCACCGUCAUCCUCGCCGUCCCCUUCUUCUGCGCCGCCGCCGCCGCCGCCGCCGCCGCCGGAGGGCGGUGCCGCCCCUCUCUUCCUCUCUCGUCAACGCAGCAGCAAAAGCUAGCGUGCGCCGCCGGCACGCAAAGCUUCCCCCGGCUCCUCUUGCCCUCCUCUAGCUCCUCCCCCAUCCCCGACCUAGGGCUUCUUCCAAUCCUCCGCUGCCGCCGCCGCCGCCACCUUCCAUCCAGCCUCCGCCGACCGCUGCCAACCAUGGCGCUCUACCGCCGCCUCCUCCACCUCCGCCGCCUCCAGCCCCCGGCCGAACACGCCUCCUCCGUAGCCUCAGCGACUCCCCGCCUCUUCCCGCUGCUCACGCCGUCGCGCCCCUUCGCCGCCGUCUCCUCAAUCCCCCGCGUCGAGCCGCCGCUCCUCGUCGUCCCCUCCGGUUUGGCGCGCGAUGGUUUCUUCGGACGUAGGGGGGAUCGCCAGUUCUUUUCAACUGUUGGUGCUGUCUUAGUUGGUCAAGCAGCUAUUUUUCUUGGUCUAUGCAAUGACUCUGCACUGGCUCAGGAUGAUUCAGCUGGUCUAGGAGCUACAAGAAAUGAGCAAACUGAGGAAAACGCUACAGGUUUACAGCGAAUCGAAGAUGGCUCAGUGGUCUCAAAUGAACACACUGUCAAAUGGAGAAUCUUCACUGAUAAUGCUCGAGAUUUUUUACUGAAAAGAAACCUAGAUGAAGCUGAGAAGUUUUUCCAGGCAGCCCUACAUGAAGCGAAAGAAGGAUUUGGACUGAGAGAUCCACAUGUUGCGUCAGCCCUUAACAAUCUGGCUGAGUUUUAUAGGUUAAAGAAAGAAUACGAGAAGGCUGAGCUAUUGUAUCUGGAAGCAAUUGAAAUCCUGGAAGAAUCAUUUGGAUCGGACGAUAUAAGGGUUGGAACUGCUUUGCAUAGUCUUGGAAUAUGCUACCAUCUUCAACGCAAGUUUGCUCUAGCUCAGACAUGUUAUGAGCGUGCUUUGAAGAUAGAAGGACGUGUUAUGGGGAUUGGUCAUCCAGAGUAUGCAAGCACAAUGUACCUUCUUGGCAAGGUGUUAAGUCAACAAGGAAAAGAUGCAGAAGCCCUUAUUGAAGAGUCUAUCAGGAUAUUGGAGGAGUCUGGGCUUGGUGAGUCACCAAUAUGCAUACAAAGAAUGAGGUAUCUCUCCACGGAGUUGAUAAAGUCAAAUCGACUUGCUGAAGCUGAAAAUUGGCAAAGGAAGAUAUUACAUAAUCUGGAACUCUCAAAGGGGUGGGAUUCAUUUGACACUACGAAUGCAGCUGAACUCUUAACAAUGACUCUUCAAACCAUGGGGAAGUUGAAGGAAUCUGAAGAAUUAUUGGAAAGAUGCCUUGAAGUCAGAAAAAGGAUUUUGUCUGAGGAACAUUUUCAGGUAGCUGUUACUUUGGUACACUUGGCAAGGCUAACCAUGCUAAACUUUAUUAGUGACAAGGAGGACAGUGACCUAGCAAGAUCCAAACUUGUCAGGGCAAGGCUACUUGUCAAUGAUUCAAUCAGUGCAGAGGCUGAGUUACGAGCUAUGGCCCUUUUGACAGCAGAGGUUACUUGGUUACGUUGGUUACUUGAGGAUCUUGGUGUUUCUGUGACUUCCCCGACCUCUUUGUUGUCGGACAGUACAGGUGCUAUUAGUAUUGCUCGUGAUCCUAUCAAGCAUGAGCUUACUAAGCAUAUUGGGGUGGAUGCUUCUUACACACGCACCCAGGUACAAGAUCAGGAUAGCAGAAGGAAUAUUAUAUGAUUCAAGGAAAGAUCUGAACAAACUCAAUAAUGGACGAACUACAGACAGGGAUAAGAUUGCAGCAACUAGUGCACUUUUGCAAGCACUUGAAGUUGCUGGACUUCUUGAAAGUGGAAUGAAGAAUAUGCUAACUCCAGGGGAACAAGAUUUAUAUCCUGUUGAACAGGCUCUUAACAAGUGUGUUUCGCUUUACAAAGAGCCUCAUACGCGGAAAUUCGUGUCAAAGACUCUCAAGAACGAGUAUAUCAGAUGCUUGAGGCGGCUCACUGGUAUUGUUCAGAGCGAUUUCGCUGUGUCGGAGGCAUUGACAUUGCAGGGGUUGCUAGCUGAAGCGCAACAGAUACUUGAAGAACUUGGACACGAGAGCAACUAGAAGUAUGGAAAAGUAAUUAUUCAUGACUCGGAGGAACACCUUUGUUGUGUGCAAGGUCUUCUAGGUUGGUUUUGCACCAACAGAUUUUGAUGCCAGCAUGGAUUUUUAUUGUGCUCUGAGCUAUCGACCAUAUGCUGCCGUAGUUGGUGGCGACUUUGCAAGCAACAAAGGAUGGUGAUUUUGUUUUCUUCUGGUUUACAGGUUUAUGCUGCCGUGGUUUUUUGUUUGACCUGCGGAUGUCAUUUGCCCGGCAAAUUUUACUUGUAUCAUGACUGCUCGAUUUUGGAACACUUAAGUAGGCUUCCACGGUGUCAACGAAGUGUACGAAGAUCCACUCUUUAGGAUUUUAUAUUUUUAUACUCACCUUGUUCUUCAGAAGCUUCUUUUUCCUGCCUGGAACAACUUCAGAAGUUGAUAUUUGCAAAAAUAUAUAAUUUUCCUUUGGGGUCAUAACACAAA